GGCUCGGUAGCGGAUGGUCCGCGCCUGCUGCGCGUGCGAUGUUGAAGGUGCUUUCCGCGGGACCCGCUCGUUCGAUUCGAGCCCGAGCCA